rnacentral:rRNA from 1 species
UACGAAGGGGGCUAGCGUUGCUCGGAAUCACUGGGCGUAAAGCGCACGUAGGCGGACUCUUAAGUCGGUGGUGAAAUCCUGGAGCUCAACUCCAGAACUGCCUUCGAUACUGAGAGUCUCGAGUCCGAGAGAGGUGAGUGGAACUGCGAGUGUAGAGGUGAAAUUCGUAGAUAUUAGGAAGAACACCAAUGGCGAAGGCAGCUCUCUGGGACGGUACUGACGCUGAGACGCGAAAGCGUGGGGAGCGAACAGG